rnacentral:rRNA from 1 species
CCUACGGGAGGCAGCAGUGGGGAAUAUUGGGCAAUGGGCGCAAGCCUGACCCAGCAACGCCGCGUGAAGGAAGAAGGCCCUCGGGUUGUAAACUUCUUUUGUCAGGGACGAAACAAAUGACGGUACCUGACGAAUAAGCCACGGCUAACUACGUGCCAGCAGCCGCGGCAAUACGUAGGUGGCAAGCGUUAUCCGGAUUUACUGGGUGUAAAGGGCGUGUAGGCGGGAGAGCAAGUCAGAUGUGAAAUUCCAGGGCUCAACCCUGGACCUGCAUUUGAAACUGUUUUUCUUGAGUGAUGGAGAGGUAGGCGGAAUUCCGGGUGUAGCGGUGAAAUGCGUAGAUAUACGGAGGAACACCAGUGGCGAAGGCGGCCUGCUGGACAUUAACUGACGCUGAGGCGCGAAAGCGUGGGGAGCGAACAGGAUUAGAUACCCGGGUAGUC